ACCUACUAUUGGAGUGUAGAGACAGAAGAAGCCUUCUCCCGCGAAUUUCUACCGCCAGAAGUUGCAAUGUCCAACCAUCUCCGUUCUCCAAUGCAGAGUUCUCGGUAGGCUACGCCGAGUGUUCACUGUUCAGAAACUGUUCAGACGAUAAGAUAUGCAUCAUGGUGUGUAUUGUGCUUCUCUGAGAAAAGUCAUGACUACACGGAGGUAAAUGAUGGACAAAGGUUCAUGCUAUCAUUAUUUCAUCACAGUGAAGUUUGUGGAAACCAUUUGUAGGAUGUAUUGGCAUUCUCGUCUUUUGUUGACCAUCCAAUCAUGGUGAACUAUGUAAGGUAGUCUUUGCUUAUUGGAGAAUUCAAAUCAUUCAGUGCAUCUGAAUAAUUGGUUAACUGUAUGGUGUUAGUCUCCGUCUGUUGGGUGCUCGUCCUCUAGGGGGCGGUAGUUUAAUUGUGAUUGCUGUUUCAUUUUAUCACAGCCUAGCAGGUUCAUGGUUUCAACUAUUGAAGUUAUUUAGUCUGAUUCCGGAAUCACUGUAUGCCGGGACCAUGGAAGGGAUCAUGACAUAUUUUCCUCAAGAUUGGGACGAUGAUUAUGCAAGUCCUGCCCCCGUUCAAACUGAUUAAAUCCCAAAUUUUCAUCAGUCCAUACAAUUUUUUUCGUAGUUGGCUGUCUUAAGGGUUCUUUCUUUUUCUUGAUGUUGAUCGUAUAAGUAGCUGCAGAAAAGUGACAGUAAUUAAUCAUGUGGCAUUGUGAGGAAGAUAUUGAAUUGGAAGCUCAGUUAUAAAUAUAAGCACCAAUUCCUCAACUUUGGAAGUUAGAAAUGAUCAUCCUGUAACAUCCCUUUCUGGAUGUGGAUUUUGGAGUCAACCCUCAGGUCCUCACGAUUCUCGAGGUGGAUGGUUGGCAUAUAAGUCUUACCUUUUAGAAAAAUCCUUACAUUAUGAGAUGUUAGCCAUUGUGCAAUUCCCUUGCGUGGCCUUUAUUUCUUAUGGGGAUUAAGCUCAGAUCAAUAUGUAAAAUGCUUCCUCGACUGUUUUAGAGAUUUACUGGCUGGAGCAGCUUCUUUUUAGUUGAUCAAUCUAAAACUCCAUUCCUUUUGAACUUUUCUUUAGUGAAUAAGAGUGCCUUAUACAUAUACAAAGAUUAAUAACUGUGUUUACAUCCCUUUUCACUCCUUUAUAAGUAGAUCUAUGUAUCUUCGAGAAGAGUAAAGACUGCACUCAACCAGAUGAUUUUUGGCUUUUUCUUGGAAGAAGGAAUAAGAGGCAAGCAACAUAACAUAAGGAACUCUUCUACACAAACUAAACACCUCUAAAGCUACUCUUCCAGUUUCUGGCAAACAAACAAUGGAUAGUGUUAUGGCAUAUGGGUGAAGUCAGUCGUACUUGUCAUGGGCCCAUUGCUAUGUGGGGCCUUCUGGGAGUGACACCUGGGCUGACAAGCAGUGGAUUUCCCUACAAUGCUUUUUGAGGAGUAGAUCAAUCCCUAAAAAGGACAGCUUUUCGAGCUGAGAAAGAACUGUGCUGAGGCAUGUGACCUCCUCCCCUUCCUGUUGAUUUCUUGUAUGGUACUGAAGAAUAUGCGAGGGAAGAAAGAUCUAAAUAGAAAGGAUUCAUCCCACUAAUGAGAUACACAAACUACCUACCCCUACUUGACACUACUAAAAUCUAAGGACAGACUUAAGCAUCAAAGCAUAAUGGGCAGAGCACCACACUGGUGUGAGCUUCUCUUUUGCAGGUUGGUCAGCACUUUAACUACAUUUGUCUGUGAUCAAAAUCUUGCAUCAACGUAUAGAUUAAUUGGCUUUCUGCUGGCUUUUUAACACUCAUCUUAUGGAGCUGUUAGACCAAAAAAGAUGUCCCUUCAGUACAUUGGUUUUCUUGGCAGUAGUCCACACAUAAACUGAAUUCUUGUAUCUUGAGCCUCUAGACUAAAAACAAAACUGUGACAGAAGAUUCAGCUUCGAGUGUGAAUAAUAGUGAUCACAUUUCUGUUUUAAUUAGUGAAUGUCACCAUUACGAGAAUAGUAGUUGUGUUCCUGUUCUUCAUGUCACUUUGCUAAGGAGGGAAGAAAUACAGUUUUCAAUUCAUUGUAGCUUUCAACUCGUAGACAUCUUUCUACAGAGGGCAAGGUAAAGCAGUUUCACAGCCGGGAGAGACACAAGAAAGUUCAAAUUUCAUAGAAAUAAUUGUAGUGAAAUUUCAUAGAAAACUGAAAACGCUUACAAGUUUUGUAUUUGUAGUGAAACUUCUGUAGUUAAUUACUCAUGAUGACCGGUUGGUAUGCACAUGGAAAAUUUGUCUUUUGAUACCACGUGUGAUUAAAGCACUUCUUCUAUGUACGAAAAGCAAAUGUUAGAAGUUAGAGAAUGUCGCCACCUUGAUUCAUAUUGCA